GGGGCUGUAGCUCAGCUGGGAGAGCGCCUCGUUCGCAAUGAGGAGGUCGUCGGUUCGAUCCCGAUCAGCUCCACCA
rnacentral:tRNA from 1 species